rnacentral:tmRNA from 1 species
GGGGUUGACCGGUUUUGACAGCGUGUAGAGGUGGUGAGUAAGCAUGCAGAGCAAUGAUGGCUACGCUCUAUAAUCUGGGACAUCACAAUUUCAAAUGGCAACAACAACUAUGCUCUUGCUGCUUGAUUGAAGUAUAGUAGAUCAGCUUAAUCUCCGCAACAGUUGCAGAGACAAGACAUCGCCCGAGAGCCGGCGACCCGAGGCUCCUCGAUCAGGCGGUGCAGAAAAAUCGGGUAUAGGGGGCCGGCCGCCUCGAGAAGCCCCCGAAACAACAGAGGAUAAGACCGGCGUUGGUAGUCUCUUGCCUGCGCCGAUACGAAAACCAAGUAGAGACUAAGCAUGUAGAAAGCUCAUUAGUUCCGCGUUUGGACGAGGGUUCAAGUCCCUCCAACUCCACUU